rnacentral:rRNA from 1 species
UACGAAGGGGGCUAGCGUUGCUCGGAAUCACUGGGCGUAAAGCGCACGUAGGCGGCUUUUUAAGUCAGGGGUGAAAUCCUGGAGCUCAACUCCAGAACUGCCUUUGAUACUGAGAAGCUUGAGUCCGGGAGAGGUGAGUGGAAUUCCGAGUGUAGAGGUGAAAUUCGUAGAUAUUCGGAAGAACACCAGUGGCGAAGGCGGCUCACUGGACCGGCAUUGACGCUGAGGUGCGAAAGCGUGGGGAGCAAACAGG